CCCGCUGAGUUUAAGCAUAUCAAUAAGCGGAGGAAAAGAAACUUACUAGGAUUCCCCCAGUAACGGCGAGUGAACCGGAAAAAGCCCAGCUUGAGAAUCGGGCGCCACCGGCGUUCGAAUUGUAGUCUGGAGAAGCGUCCUCAGCGACAGACCGGGCCCAAGUCCCUUGGAAAGGGGCGCCGGAGAGGGUGAGAGCCCUGUCGUGCCCGGACCCUGUCGUACCACGAGGCACUGUCUACGAGUCGGGUUGUUUGGGAAUGCAGCCCUAAUCGAGUGGUAAAUUCCGUCCAAGGUUAAAUACGGGCGAGAGACCGAUAGCGAACAAGUACCGCGAGGGAAAAAUGAAAAGGACUUUGAAAAGAUAGUCAAAGAGUGCUUGAAAUUGUCGGGAGGGGAGCGGAUGGGGGCUGGCAAUGUGCCUUGGUCGGAUGUGGAACGGCGAGAACCAGUCCGUCGAUCAGCUCGAAGGGUGGACAGACGCGGGUCGUGGCGGCGGUCCAAGCUCGGGCCUUUGAUUCGCCUGUAGAGACAUCGUCGCCUCGAUUGUGGGAUCCAGAACGCGCCGUCUCGGCGUAGUUUGGCACCUGCUUGCUCCAGGUGUCGAUCGGUGGGCUCUCCAUUCGGCCCAUUUUGAAACACGG
rnacentral:ncRNA from 1 species